rnacentral:hammerhead_ribozyme from 1 species
GUACUGCUGAAGAGUCCCAAACUAGGACGAAAUAGCUGUCGAAUAC